rnacentral:rRNA from 1 species
UACGUAGGGGGCAAGCGUUGUCCGGAGUUACUGGGCGUAAAGCGCCCGCAGGCGGUUACGCGCGUCUCAGGUGACAGCGCCUCGCUUAACGAGGGGAGGGCCUGAGAGACGGCGUGACUAGAGGGCCAGAGAGGGACAUGGAACUCCGGGUGGAGCGGUGAAAUGCGUAGAGAUCCGGAAGAACACCAAAGGCGAAGGCAGUGUCCUGGCUGGCACCUGACGCUCAGGGGCGAAAGCGAGGGGAGCGAACGGG